GGUCCACUGAACAUAGAAAAUGAAAGUGCAUGUUUCAGGUUAAAGUUUUUGGUCAAGGUAGUUUUUGAUGAAGUUGAAGUCCAAUCAACUUGAAACUUAGUACACAUGUUCCCUAUGAUAUUAUCUUUCUAAUUUUAAUGCCUAAUUAUAUUUUUUAUCCAAUUUCAUGGUCCAUUGAACAUGGAAAAUGAUAGUGCGAGUGGGGCACCCGUGUACUUUGGACACAUUCUUGUUUCUCCUUAAUUUAAUAUAAAUUCAUUCAACAAACAUACAUGUACGCAACAAAUAACAAUAACCAGAUGCUCCGCAGGGCGCAGCUUUAUACGACGGCAGAGUUCGAACCCUGAAAAGUUGGGGCAAGUAUGGACACAACAUUCAAGCUUGAUACAGCUCUGAAUUUGGAUUGUGAUUAAAUAGUUACCACAACAUUGGUUUCUGACACAGAAUGAAUGUGGUCUAAGAACUUAAACUUAAAAACUUAAAAAUUUUAAAUUGGACAUUUACCUAUUAUGGUCCAAUAUCCAAAAUCUAAAUACAUGGUUAGAUUCAGCAUAUCAAAGAACCCCAUAUAUUCAAUUUUUGUUGAAAUCAAACAAAGUUUAAUUUUGGACCCCGAUUUGGACCAACUUG
rnacentral:lncRNA from 1 species